rnacentral:rRNA from 1 species
AGAAUCAACGCUGGCGGCGUGCCUAACACAUGCAAGUCGAACGAGAAAGUGGAGCAAUCCAUUAGUAAAAUGGCGCACGGGUGAGUAACACGUGACUAACCUACCCUUGAGUGGGGGAUAACCUAGAGAAAUCUGGGCUAAUACCGCAUAAUACCUUCGGGUCAAAGGAGCAAUUCGCUUAAGGAGGGGGUCGCGGCCGAUUAGUUAGUUGGCGGGGUAAUGGCCCACCAAGACUAUGAUCGGUA